GAUUAUCGAAGGAUUUAUUGACCUGAAUUCAUAAUC
rfam:Flavobacterium aquatile LMG 4008 contig3, whole genome shotgun sequence.